GUGGAACACCAAGACAAGUGGCUAGAAACCUUGUACAUGAAAACAGCGGCCCACCCAAAGUUUGUCUUUUCCUAGGAAGUUAUAGAGAAAUGAGGAGGUAACAGAAGAGCAGUCAAUAAAAGAAAAAUUUCUUUAAAAGACAUAUGGGUGGGAUGAGAACGAAUGAUUCUUACUUUAUCUGUAGAAAUUGAAUUUUGCUGCAACUAAGAGAGACCUCGAAAAUAGUGAUUUACACAAAUAAAAUUUUGUUCCAUCAAGAAAACUGAUAUUCAGCAGUCCAGGCUGAUGCAGUGGCUUCAAGAGCUCUUCAGCAACCCAGGCACCUUCCAGGUCUUCUUUCCCAAUUCUAGUGCUAGUAACUCCUUCAUCUCAUCACCCAACAUGGCUACCAGAGCUCCAGACAUCACGUGUACAUCUGAGUUCCAGGAAACCAGACAGAGGGAGAAAAGAAGGGCAUGCACGCUCACUUUAAAGAAGACUUCUAAGAAGAACCACCUAAAAUUCCCCAACCUAGUCCCAAAGCUCACUUGGCUGCUUUCAAGCCUGGAAAAUGCAGUCUUUAAGCUGAAAAAUGCUAUGACAAAAUCAGAGAUUGAUCAUGCCUACAAUGACAACUGGAAAACAGAAAUGAAACCAUAUAAGCCAAGCACUCACGCAAUCUUUGUCCUCCCAGUUGACUUAAGAACACUUGUGAAGAAAAUGUGGCGUCUUUAGAUCUCAGAUCCCUUGUUUCCAACUGGUUCAAAUAAAUAGACAACUCUUCAUUCCGAUGGUACUUCUUAGAGAUAAACCACAUGCAUGUAUCAGAGAAAA
rnacentral:lncRNA from 1 species